GCCAGUUUCAACUGAAGAGUUUGAUCCUGGCUCAGAUUGAACGCUAACGGUAUGCUUAACACAUGCAAGUCGAGCGGCAGCAUGACCUGUAGCAAUACAGGUUGAUGGCGAGCGGCGGACGGGUGAGUAAUACGUAGGAAUCUGCCUUACAGUGGGGGAUAACCCGGGGAAACUCGGGCUAAUACCGCAUGAUCUCUCAGGAGCAAAGCGGGGGACUUUCGAGCCUCGUGCUGUAAGAUGAGCCUACGUCGGAUUAGCUAGUUGGUAGGGUAAAGGCCUACCAAGGCAACGAUCCGUAGCUGGUCUGAGAGGAUGAUCAGCC
rnacentral:rRNA from 1 species